rnacentral:rRNA from 2 species
ACAAGCGGUGGAGCAUGUGGUUUAAUUCGACGAUACACGAAGAACCUUACCUGGACUUGACAUAGUAAGAACUUUCUAGAGAUAGAUUGGUGUCUGCUUGCAGAAACUUAUAUACAGGUGCUGCACGGCUGUCGUCAGCUCGUGUCGUGAGAUGUUGGGUUAAGUCCCGCAACGAGCGCAACCCUCGUGUUUAGUUGCUAACAGUUCGGCUGAGAACUCUAAACAGACUGCCUACGCAAGUAGGAGGAAGGUGAGGACGACGUCAAGUCAUCAUGGCCCUUACGUCCAGGGCUACACACGUGCUACAAUGGGAUAUACAAAGAGCGGCAAUACGGUGACGUGGAGCAAAUCUUAUAAAAUAUCUCCCAGUUCGGAUUGUAGUCUGCAACUCGACUACAUGAAGUUGGAAUCGCUAGUAAUCGUAGAUCAGCUAUGCUACGGUGAAUACGUUCCCGGGUCUUGUACUCACCGCCCGUCACACCAUGGGAGUCGAACUCAUUCGAAGCGGGGAUGCUAAAGUAGCUACCUUCCACAGUGGAUUUGGCGACUGGGGUGAAGUCGUAACAAGGUAACCGUAGGAGAACCUGCGGUUGGAUCACCUCCUUUC